rnacentral:misc_RNA from 1 species
GAUGAAGAACGCAGCGAAAUGCGAUAAGUAGUGUGAAUUGCAGAAUUCAGUGAAUCAUCGAAUCUUUGAACGCAUAUUGCGCUCUUUGGUAUUCCGAAGAGCAUGCUUGUUUGAGUAUCAGUAAACACCUCAACCUCUUCUUGAUUUUUCAAAAGGAGGGUGGACUUGAGCUAUCCCAACAACCUUUACCGGUCGGCGGGCGGCUUGAAAUGCAGGUGCAGCUGGACUUUUAUCUGAGCUAAAAGCAUAUCUAUUUAGUCCUCGUCAAACAGGAUUAUUACUUUUGCUGCAGCUAACAUAAAGGAUAAUUGUCCUCUUUGCUGACUGAUGCAGGAUUUUACGACACUUUAUGUGUUGUUCAACUCGAUCUCAAAUCAAGUAAGACUACCCGCUGAACUUAAGCAUAUCAAUAAGCGGAGGA